ensembl:lncRNA
AUUAAUAUAAAAUACAAAAUAUGUCAUUGUAUUAAGACCACUAUUAGUAAAGCAGAAUGAAAAUAAAUGCAAAAAAAAAAAUCAAAUGACAAACUAGUGACUGUAUAAGCCACGAUGCUGUGAAGUCGUGUCAUGACUCGCUCCAUGUUUCAGGUCAGCAAGUGACUCUUUCACAGCGCGCGCUCUGAUUAAUGACUGGGAACUGUCCUAAGUGCGCUUUUACUCCUCCAGACUGCGAAAGACCCUCUGAACUCCCUGCUGGAAACGCAAAUCCCCGCAGCGCGUGUGUAUGAGCGGAUCUCACGCAAAUGACGCACGGCUGCGUGACGGCGACAGACAUGUGCGCAAACUCUACAGACUGCGUGGGUGUCCUGCUCCUUCUGCUCCAGCUGCAGUUCAGUCAGACCAAACCCAUCGACUUCAUCUGUGACCCAGAGGUGAGGAGACGCAUGGAUGUGACGGAGACGCUGGAGCCGCUCAUGACCCACUGCUUGGACCAGCUGCCCUCGGACGUCCUGCAGCCGUGUGUCCGGAUAAACAUGGGAGCGUGGAAACAGACAUCAGUGAGUACAGCUCCUUCAUCUAACAAGAAAAAUCAAACCAGAAGAAAAACAUUGACUGAAAUAAAAUAAAAUAUAAAAAAACAUUUUAUUUUAUUUCUUUAUUUUUUAAAAUUUAUUUCAUUACUGAUUUUUUUUGUUUUAUUUCAUUUUAAUUGUUUUAUUUUAUUUUUUUUUUUAUUUUUUUUUUUAUUUGUAUUUUAUUAUAGCUAGUUACCAAGGCAACAUUUGUCAUUUUUAUUUAGAUUAACUUAAUGCUGGAGUAAUCUAGAGCCAUUUAACAUUUUCAUUAAUUGAAAUAAAGUAAAAUAUAAAAAACUUUUUUUUUUUUUA